rnacentral:tRNA from 1 species
GGGGCUAUCGCUCAGUUGGUAGGGUGCUUGCCUUAUAUGUACAAGGCCCUGAGUUCAAUCCUCAGCACCACCA